rnacentral:rRNA from 1 species
GAUCCUGGCUCAGGAUGAACGCUGGCGGCGUGCUUAACACAUGCAAGUCGAACGGAGUUUACUUAACAGAUUCCUUCGGGAUGACGUUUUUUAAACUUAGUGGCGGACGGGUGAGUAACGCGUGGGUAACCUGCCUUACACAGGGGGAUAGCAGUUGGAAACGACUGGUAAUACCGCAUACCUUACAUUAUUCGCAUGUUUGAUGUAAGAAAGAUUUAUCGGUGUAAGAUGGACCCGCGUCUGAUUAGCUAGUUGGUGUGGUAAACGG